rnacentral:rRNA from 1 species
AGUGAACGCUGGCGGUAGGCCUAACACAUGCAAGUCGAACGGCAGCACAGGAGAGCUUGCUCUCUGGGUGGCGAGUGGCGGACGGGUGAGGAAUACAUCGGAAUCUACUCUGUCGUGGGGGAUAACGUAGGGAAACUUACGCUAAUACCGCAUACGACCUACGGGUGAAAGCAGGGGACCUUCGGGCCUUGCGCGAUUGAAUGAGCCGAUGUCGGAUUAGCUAGUUGGCGGGGUAAAGGCCCACCAAGGCGACGAUCCGUAGCUGGUCUGGGAGGAUGAUCACCAACACUGGGACUGAGACACGGCCCAGACUCCUACGGGAGGCAGCAGUGGGGAAUAGUGGACAAGGGGCGCAAGCCUGAUCCAGCCAUACCGGGUGGGUGAAGAAGGCCUUCGGGUUGUAAAGCCCUUUUGUUGGGAAAGAAAUCCAGCUGGCUAAUACGCGGUUGGGAUGACGGUACCCAAAGAAUAAGCACCGGCUAACUUCGUGCCAGCCGCCGCAGUAA